rnacentral:tRNA from 1 species
GGCGCUUUUGGUUUAGUAAUACCUAGAUCUUUUUUAUCUUUUUUAUCGUUGUAACAGUAAUUAUGAUAACCAUCUUGUUUGUAUACUAUUUUCAUUUUAUAUUCUUUAUUUAAUAGAUUGUUUUAACAAGCCCCCACGCAAGGCUUCUCAUUUUAAGUAUAUUAUAAAAUUUUUUAUUUUUUAGUAAAAAAAUAUUUAGGAGAGAUGGCUGAGUGGUUGAUAGCCUCGGUCUUGAAAACCGAUAUAGUUCUGACUAUCGAGGGUUCAAAUCCCUCUCUCUCC